rnacentral:rRNA from 1 species
CCUACGGGGGGCAGCAGUGGGGAAUAUUGGACAAUGGGGGCAACCCUGAUCCAGCCAUGCCGCGUGUGUGAAGAAGGCCCUCGGGUUGUAAAGCACUUUCAGUGAGGAAGAACGCCUGGUGGUUAAUACCCAUCAGGAAAGACAUCACUCACAGAAGAAGCACCGGCUAACUCCGUGCCAGCAGCCGCGGUAAUACGGAGGGUGCGAGCGUUAAUCGGAAUUACUGCGCGUAAAGCGCGCGUAGGUGGCUUGAUAAGCCGGUUGUGAAAGCCCCGGGCUCAACCUGGGAACGGCAUCCGGAACUGUCAAGCUAGAGUGCAGGAGAGGAAGGUAGAAUUCCCGGUGUAGCGGUGAAAUGCGUAGAGAUCGGGAGGAAUACCAGUGGCGAAGGCGGCCUUCUGGACUGACACUGACACUGAGGUGCGAAAGCGUGGGUAGCAAACAGGAUUAGAUACCCGAGUAGUC